UUAUGGUACUAACAGUUAAGGAAUUAGGGGCCAAAAGGGGCCAAUAAUAAGCAUUUUUGUAACUUCCAGACAUAACUUGUGUGUAAGUGUAUGGAUCUCUCUGACAUUGUACCACAAGGUUCCAUAUCACAAAGGGAAUGCUGGGAUUGAUUUUGGGGGUAAUUGUCUCCAAAUUUUAGGAAUUAGGGGCCAAAAAGGGGCAAAAAACAAGCAUUUUUCUAGUUUCAUGACAAUAACUUGUUUGUAAGUGUAUGGAUCUUUAUGAAAUUGUACUACAAGGUUCCAUAUCACAAAGGGAAUACUGGGAUUGAUUUUUGGGGUAAUUUCCUCCAAAUAUUAGGAAUUAGGGGCCAAAAAGGGGCAAAAAACAAGCAUUUUUCUAGUUUCAUGACAAUAACUUGUUUGUAAGUGUAUGGAUCUUUAUGAAAUUGUACUACAAGGUUCCAUAUCACAAAGGGAAAGCUGGAAUUGAGUUUGGGGGUGAUUGCCCUAAUCGUUUAGGAAUUUGGGGCCAAAAAGGGGCCAAAAAACAAGCAUUUUUCUAGUUUCCAGACAAUAACUUGUGUUCAAGUGUAUGAAUCUCUCUGAAAUUGUACUGCAAGGUACCAUACCACAAAGGGAAAGCUGGGAUUGAGUUUGGGGGCGAUGAAUCAUAAGGGGGUUCAAAAAAUUGGGGGGGGAUUUUUUUUUUCCUUUUUUUUCUUUAACAUUUUCCAUUUUAAAUUGGUUAUUUCUGAUUUAUAUAUAAAAGCAAAUAAUAAUGAUAUGGUUUGAAUAGGCAUACAUGUGAACCUCCCGACGGGAGUACAAUAAUCCCGUUUUCAGGGGUCUCCUCCCCCCUUCCCGUUGAAAAAAUCCCGUGUAUGAAAUUUUUCAUGAAUGAAAAAUUUCUGCCCAACAUAACAUCUCAGGCAUCUGGUGUAACUGACAUUACCUGAAGUUAUAUUUUACCUGUAAAUCAAUUAACAUGCAUAAUUAUAUGGCUUCACUUGUCAGCUUGGGUGUCAAACAUACUGGUAAGCAACGAUUUUUACCUCAGGCUAACUGCCGUUGUGUAACAAAAACUGUGUAUUUAUUGGGUUACUUCCCUUGAUUUAUCCUGUUUUAAGUUACUUUCCUUUUAAUAAUGAAAAUUUUUAAAAGAAUAUAAAUAAAAUAUAAAUUGAACAAAUAAUCAUAAAAGGAUGGUUAUUAAAUGAUUUUAAAUGUCUUAGGACAAAUAAAAAAAUAAUAAUUUGAAAAUUAUUUGAGGAUUCUAUACUUCCUUUUAAGGCUUAAAUUGAAAUUUAUAUAUUAUCACUAUGACCCUAACUUUACAGAUAGAAUGAAUUUCUGAGUUUGCAAAUAAAAACUAUUUGCAAGAGAAAAAAAAAAAAAAAUAUAAACUAAUUGCAGACAGCUAAACAAAUGUUCUGGUUGCAAUGAUUGUUUUAUAGAAUAUGAAGUAAAAAAUUUAAAGAACAUACUGGAAAAAAACAAUGUUAGAUUGAACAUGUAGAAUAUAAAGAUGGAGAAACUUUAUAAGUACAAGGGUACUAUAAACAUAAUAAAUUGGUUGGAAAGUUGAAGAAAACACACUUUAAAAGACCAUUUUUACAGCACACGGUUACAUUUACAACAAAAUUAAUGUCGAUUAAAAACCUCCUGAUCUGAGUCCUAAUCUCCUGACCAAAAUUUCCCAAUCUCCUGAUCUGAGUUUCACAGUCCAUCACAUGUAUGAAUAGGUAAAUUGAAAAUUUUUAAGUUCUUAGACCACUUUCAUUCUGUGUCAGAAACCUAUGCUGUGUCAAAUAUUUAAUUACAAUCCAAAUUCAGUGCUGUAUCAAGCUUGAAUGUUGUGUCCAUACUUGCCCCAACUGUUCAGGGUUCGACCUCUGCGGUCGUAUCAAGCUGCGCCCCAGCGGAGCAUUUUAUUGUAACUUCCAGACAUAACUUGUGUAUUAGUGUAUGGAUCUCUCUGACAUUGUACCACAAGGUUCCAUAUCACAAAGGGAAUGCUGGGAUUGAUUUUGGGGGUAAUUGCCUCCAAAUUUUUAGGAAUUAGGGGCCAAAAAGGGGCAAAAAAACAAGCAUUUUUCUAGUUUCAUGACAAUAACUUGUGUGUAAGUCUAUGGAUCUCUCUGACAUUGUAUCACAAGGUUCCAUAUCACUAAGGGAAUGCUGGGAUUGAUUUUGGGGGUAAUUGCCUCCAAAUGUUAGGAAUUAGGGGCCAAAAAGGGGCAAAAAACAAGCAUUUUUCUAGUUUCAUGACAAUAACUUGUGUGUAAGUGUAUGGAUCUUUAUGAAAUUGUAC